GCAAGUCGAACGGUAACAGCAGAGCUUGCUCUGGCUGACAAGUGGCGGACGGGUGCGUAACGCGUGGGAAUCUACCUUGUAGUGGGGGAUAGCCCGGAGAAAUCCGGAUUAAUACCGCAUAAUCUCUACGGAGCAAAGUGGGGGAUCUUCGGACCUCACGCUAUUAGAUGAGCCCGCGUUAGAUUAGCUUGUUGGUGAGGUAAUGGCUCACCAAGGCGACGAUCCGUAGCUGGUUUGAGAGAACGACC
rnacentral:rRNA from 1 species